UCGAGCGGANCGACACAUUGACCCUUCGGNUGAUUUGUUGGGCGUCGAGCGGCGGACGGGUGAGUAAUGCCUGGGAAAUUGCCCUGAUGUGGGGGAUAACCAUUGGAAACGAUGGCUAAUACCGCAUAANGUCUACGGACCAAAGAGGGGGACCUUCGGGCCUCUCGCUUCAGGAUAUGCCCAGGUGGGAUUAGCUAGUUGGUGAGGUAAUGGCUCACCAAGGCGACGAUCCCUAGCUGGUCUGAGAGGAUGAUCAGCCACACUGGAACUGAGACACGGUCCAGACUCCUACGGGAGGCAGCAGUGGGGAAUAUUGCACAAUGGGCGCAAGCCUGAUGCAGCCAUGCCGCGUGUAUGAAGAAGGCCUUCGGGUUGUAAAGUACUUUCAGUCGUGAGGAAGGCGUUGAAGUUAAUAGCUUCAUCGUUUGACGUUAGCGACAGAAGAAGCACCGGCUAACUCCGUGCCAGCAGCCGCGGUAAUACGGAGGGUGCGAGCGUUAAUCGGAAUUACUGGGCGUAAAGCGCAUGCAGGUGGUUUGUUAAGUCAGAUGUGAAAGCCCGGGGCUCAACCUCGGAACCGCAUUUGAAACUGGCAGGCUAGAGUACUGUAGAGGGGGGUAGAAUUUCNGGUGUAGCGGUGAAAUGCGUAGAGAUCUGANGAAUACCAGUGGCGAANGCGGCCCCCUGGNCAGAUACUGACACUCAGAUGCGAAAGCGUGGGGNGCAAACAGGAUUANAUACCCUGNNAGNCCACGCCGUAAACGANGUCUACUUGNAGGUUGUG
rnacentral:rRNA from 1 species